GAUGAACGCUGGCGGGAGGCCUAACACAUGCAAGCCGAGCGGUAGAGUUUCUUCUGAAUCUUGAGAGCGUCGCACGGGUGCGUAACACGUGUGCAACCUACCUUUAUCUGGGGGAUAGCCUUUCGAAAGGAAGAUUAAUACCCCAUAAUAUAAUGAUUGGCAUCAAUUAUUAUUGAAAACUCCGGUGGAUAGAGAUGGGCACGCGUAAGAUUAGAUAGUUGGUGAGGUAACGGCUCACCAAGUCAAUGAUCUUUAGGGGUCCUGAGGGGGAGAUCCCCCACGCUGGUACUGAGACACGGACCAGACGAGUACGGGCGGCAGCAGUGAGGAAGAGUAGACGAGGGGAGAGAGCCUGAUCCAGCCAUCCCGCGUGAAGGAUGACUGUCCUAGGGAUAUUAAACUUCUUUUGUACAGGGAUAAACCUACUCUCGAGAGGGUAGCUGAAGGUACUGUACGAAUAAGCACCGGCUAACUCCGUG
rnacentral:rRNA from 1 species